rnacentral:rRNA from 1 species
UACAGAGGUCCCAAGCGUUGUUCUGAUUCAUUGGGCGUAAAGGGUGCGUAGGUGGCGCCGUAAGUGGGGUGUGAAAUUUCGGAGCUUAACUCCGAAACUGCAUUCCAUACUGCGGUGCUUGAGGACUGGAGAGGAGACUGGAAUUCAUGGUGUAGCAGUGAAAUGCGUAGAGAUCAUGAGGAAGACCAGUGGCGAAGGCGGGUCUCUGGACAGUUCCUGACACUGAGGCACGAAGGCCAGGGGAGCAAACGGG